ACUCAAAUGAAUUGACGGGGGCCCGCACAAGCAGCGGAGCGUGUGGUUUAAUUCGAGGCUACACGAAGAACCUUACCUGGGUUUGACAUACUGGUGGUAGGGAAGCGAAAGCUGACCGACCUUCGGGAGCCAGUACAGGUGCUGCAUGGCUGUCGUCAGCUCGUGCCGUGAGGUGUUAGGUUAAGUCCUGUAACGAGCGCAACCCUCAGAACUAGUUACACGGUGUCUAGUUCGACCGCCCGCGAUAAGCAGGGAGGAAGGUGGGGAUGAUGUCAAGUCAGCAUGGCCUUUAUAUCCAGGGCUACACACACGCUACAAUGGUCGGUACAAUGGGUCGCCAAGUGGUAACACGGAGCCAAUCCACGAAAGCCGAUCUCAGUUCGGAUUGAGGGCUGCAACCCGCCCUCAUGAAGUCGGAGUUGCUAGUAACCGCCGGUCAGCCAUACGGCGGUGAAUACGUUCCCGGGCCUUGUACACACCGCCCGU
rnacentral:rRNA from 1 species